ACACUCCUACGGGAGGCAGCAGUGGGGAAUUUUGGACAAUGGGCGAAAGCCUGAUCCAGCCAUGCCGCGUGCAGGAUGAAGGCCUUCGGGUUGUAAACUGCUUUUGUACGGAACGAAACGGCCUUUUCUAAUAAAGAGGGCUAAUGACGGUACCGUAAGAAUAAGCACCGGCUAACUACGUGCCAGCAGCCGCGGUAAUACGUAGGGUGCAAGCGUUAAUCGGAAUUACUGGGCGUAAAGUGUGCGCAGGCGGUUAUGUAAGACAGUUGUGAAAUCCCCGGGCUCAACCUGGGAACUGCAUCUGUGACUGCAUAGCUAGAGUACGGUAGAGGGGGAUGGAAUUCCGCGUGUAGCAGUGAAAUGCGUAGAUAUGCGGAGGAACACCGAUGGCGAAGGCAAUCCCCUGGACCUGUACUGACGCUCAUGCACGAAAGCGUGGGGAGCAAACAGGAUUAGAUACCCCGGUAGUCCCAUGAU
rnacentral:rRNA from 1 species